rnacentral:ncRNA from 1 species
UUGAACGAAAAGACAGGUUAAAAGGGAAGGAGGUGUAAAUCCUCAACUGUACUCGCAGCUGUAAUCUCUGUAUUUUUGAAUAUUCUAACAACCACUGUAUAUCGGGAAGGUUUUUCAAAAUGGAGUAAGUCAGAAGACCUGCCAAUAUUGCUA